CUGCAUGUAAUUAGAUUAAAAUAUUUAAUCUGUAGUCUUUUGCUAAAAAUUUUUGAAAAAAUACAUGCUUCGAACUACUGAUUUUUUCUUCAAAUAGUAUCAGAGUUUCAUUCAAUAUGACAUAUAUAUUAUGCAUAUAAUCUGAUUUUAAUUAUUUAAAUUAGAUCUAAAUAAUUAAUCUUAAUUCUUAGUAUAGUAAUCGGAUUGGGUAGAUCCCC
rnacentral:lncRNA from 1 species